rnacentral:rRNA from 1 species
AUUGAACGCUGGCGGCGUGCUUAACACAUGCAAGUCGUGCGGUAACAGGCGUAGCAAUACGUGCUGACGAGCGGCGAACGGGUGCGUAAUACAUGGGAAUCUGCCUUUUAGUGGGGAAUAACCCGGCGAAAGCCGGGCUAAUGCCGCAUAAGAUCUUCGGAUGAAAGCGGGGGAUCGUAAGACCUCGCGCUGAUAGAUGAGCCCAUGCCGGAUUAGCAGUUGGUGAGGUAACGGCUCACCAAGGCGACGAUCCGUAGCUGGUCUGAGAGGACGGCCAGCCACACUGGGACUGAGACACGGCCCAGACUCCUACGGAGGCAGCAGUGGGAUAUUGGACAAUGGGGAACCUGAUCCAGCGACGCCGCGUGUGUG